UACAGAGGUCUCAAGCGUUGCUCGGAAUCACUGGGCGUAAAGGGUGCGUAGGCGGGUCUUUAAGUCAGGGGUGAAAUCCUGGAGCUCAACUCCAGAACUGCCUUUGAUACUGAAGAUCUUGAGUUCGGGAGAGGUGAGUGGAACUGCGAGUGUAGAGGUGAAAUUCGUAGAUAUUCGCAAGAACACCAGUGGCGAAGGCGGCUCACUGGGCCGAAAUUGACGCUGAGGAGCGAAAGCGUGGGGAGCAAACAGG
rnacentral:rRNA from 1 species